UACGUAGGGCGCAAGCGUUAUCCGGAAUUAUUGGGCGUAAAGAGCUCGUAGGCGGUUUGUCGCGUCUGCCGUGAAAGUCCGGGGCUCAACUCCGGAUCUGCGGUGGGUACGGGCAGACUAGAGUGAUGUAGGGGAGACUGGAAUUCCUGGUGUAGCGGUGGAAUGCGCAGAUAUCAGGAGGAACACCGGUGGCGAAGGCGGCAUCCUGGACCGGUAUUGACGCUGAGGAGCGAAAGCCAGGGGAGCGAAACGGG
rnacentral:rRNA from 1 species